GUGGGGAAUAUUGGACAAUGGGCGCAAGCCUGAUCCAGCCAUGCCGCGUGAGUGAUGAAGGCCUUAGGGUUGUAAAGCUCUUUUGUCCGGGAAGAUAAUGACUGUACCGGAAGAAUAAGCCCCGGCUAACUUCGUGCCAGCAGCCGCGGUAAUACGAAGGGGGCUAGCGUUGCUCGGAAUCACUGGGCGUAAAGGGCGCGUAGGCGGACCCUUAAGUCGGGGGUGAAGGGCCAGGGCUCAACCCUGGAAUUGCCUUCGAUACUGAGAGUCUUGAGUUCGGAAGAGGUUGGUGGAAUUGCGAGUGUAGAGGUGAAAUUCGUAGAUAUUCGCAAGAACACCAGUGGCGAAGGCGGCCAACUGGUCCGAUACUGACGCUGAGGCGCGAAAGCGUGGGGAGCAAACAGGAUUAGAAACCCCUGUAGUCC
rnacentral:rRNA from 1 species